CACUCACUCUCUCACCCUCCCAUGGCUGCCUCAGCUCCCUGUGCUUCUCUCAUAUCCUCAAACCCUAACAUUCUCUUCUCUCCCAAAUUCCCUUCUUCUUCCUUUUCUUCCCUCUCCUUCCCCAAUAUCCCCAAUUCUCUUUUCAAACCUUUACGCACUUCUCUCAAUCCUUCAUCUCCCCCUCUCAGAACCUUCGUUGCCAGGGCUUCGGUAAUUCUUUUCUCCUACCACUUACUCUCCUUUUCCCACUUAAAUCUUACAUUGCGCUGCAACAAUUUGCUCCUUUUUUAUGUUUCUGCUGAUUUUACUGUUACCUACUUCUUUGCUUGCUUGCUUGUUGGCCUCUAUUUUUUGUGCAUUUUUCUCUCUUCCCAUCAAUGUGUGCUUUCAUAUCCAACUCUCUUGUUUCUAGUCCUCGCUGUUCUCGCUCACCUGCUAAUUUUAUGCACCUCUGUGACUGAACUGUGGAAGUGAUUGUGAAAAUUCUGUGUCUGUUUGCUGCAUUUCUGAGCAUAUUACUUCAUAGAUGUGUUACAUGUCGUCCAGUGUAGCACAGAUUCAUUGUAAUUUGUAAUUAGUCGAACAAUGCUUUAAAAUAAUAUGGUAAUUCUACAUUCUUCCUUCUUCAAGGUUGUAAGUUUUGUAUUGGAAUUUCUAUUCGUGUGUGGGAGAAUCUACUUCUGCAAAGCUUUACAGCUGUAACUUCCUUGAUGAAGCUGAAAACUCAAUUUUUUUUAUAGUGUACUAUUUCUCUGGCCUGACCUUUGAAGCAAUUUAUUUAUUCUUUUUUGUUUGCUUAUUUUGAAAGAGUGAACUUCCAUUAGUUGGGAACACAGCACCGGAUUUUGAAGCAGAGGCCGUUUUUGAUCAGGAGUUCAUCAAGGUAUUUACGAUGGAAUGCUGAUUGGUAAAUUUUGUGAUUACAAAUUAUGUUGAAUGAAACACUGUCUUGUCUUGUCUGUCAGGUCAAACUAUCUGAUUAUAUUGGGAAAAAAUAUGUUAUCCUCUUUUUCUAUCCACUGGACUUCACAUUCGUUUGUCCGACAGGUUAGUAGACUUCUGAUUGCGAUUGUUGUGGAUCCUAAAUUUUCUCCUUUUUAACUGUUACAUUACUUGUGUACAGAAAUCACUGCCUUCAGUGACCGGUAUGCAGAGUUUGAGGCACUAAAUACAGAAAUUUUGGGUGUUUCAGUUGACAGUGUUGUGAGUUGUUUUGAUCCCUUUUUUAAUUAUUUCUUCAGAUUCUAGCUCUUGUAUAAUUUUCCCCCCAUACUUUUAUUCUAUGGCAUUGUUUGAUCCAUAUAACUGACAAUACCANNNNNNNNNNNNNNNNNNNNNNNNNNNNNNNNNNNNNNNNNNNNNNNNNNNNNNNNNNNNNNNNNNNNNNNNNNNNNNNNNNNNNNNNNNNNNNNNNNNNNNNNNNNNNNNNNNNNNNNNNNNNNNNNNNNNNNNNNNNNNNNNNNNNNNNNNNNNNNNNNNNNNNNNNNNNNNNNNNNNNNNNNNNNNNNNNNNNNNNNNNNNNNNNNNNNNNNNNNNNNNNNNNNNNNNNNNNNNNNNNNNNNNNNNNNNNNNNNNNNNNNNNNNNNNNGAAAUUACUAUAUAAAUAAUGGAAAGCCAAAUAUUGGACAAUGAGUUCAUUCCAACCUUAAUAAUUGAAAUGUCUUUUUCUUGACCCACAGAUGUAAUGUUAUUCUCAAUAUUUGUGAAGGAUGUGUGACAUUGUGGAGUGGGACGCAGUAUUCCCACUUGUUCCCUAGAAAACAGACAGAUUUUUAUGUUAUGAUCUAUUACCGUUCCUAUUUCUAAAUGCACAAUUAACUUUUUAUAGCCUUAUCCGUAGGCCCUUCUUAAGUUUGCUUCUUUUUGAUCAGUGGUCCUGUUGUUAUCAUUGUAGUUUUCACACCUUGCAUGGGUUCAAACUGAUAGAAAGUCGGGUGGUCUUGGCGACUUGAAUUAUCCAUUGAUUUCUGAUGUCACCAAAUCCAUCUCAAAAUCUUAUGAUGUUCUCAUUCCCGAUCAGGUAUUUUUAAAUUGAUGGCUAUUCAUAUUCCCCUGCUAUCAUCAGCCCCAAUGUAUUUUGUGCUUUAGUUUCAAAUUCUCUGGAAAGAAAUGUAGGAUGCUGUCUAGAUUAAUUGUUGAAAUGUUGUUUGUGAAACUAUUGCUUUUCAUUAUUUUUUUUUAGCACCUUUCACAACAAUUCUAAAUGUUUCCGAUGAUUAGGGGAUUGCUUUGAGAGGAUUGUUCAUUAUUGACAAGGAAGGGGUUAUUCAGCAUUCUACCAUUAACAACCUGGCCAUUGGUAGAAGUGUUGAUGAGACAAAGAGAACGCUCCAGGUAAUUAUACGAAAAAUCAGGACAACACCAGGAUUGACAAUUUUUUUAGUAUAUGUUGAACUCUUUUUUUUUUUUUUUUUUUUUCUAGUCAUCUGUCAUUUAUAUAAAUUCUUGGCAUCCAUUUAUGUGCAUUGGUUUGCAGGCCUUGCAGUAUGUGCAGGAGAACCCAGAUGAAGUUUGCCCAGCUGGGUGGAAGCCUGGUGAGAAGUCCAUGAAACCAGACCCUAAACUUAGCAAAGAGUACUUCUCUGCUAUUUAGGGAGGAUAAUGGUUGAAGAGUAGCAAUUGCUCAUAUGUAUCAAUCAAUGAUAAUUUGUAUAAUGCAACGCAAGUUUAUAAAGUUUUGAUUGAGAGGGUCUCAUGAUUAUAUAAAUGCAUACUGUUCAAUAAUUUUCGAAUGAAUUAUGUAUCUAUUUUUAUCAAUACGUCUGUUUUUUUAUGUAUUUCAUGAUUAUUUAUGGACCAUGCUUUUAUAUAUGAUGGAGGAAAAAGGGAUCAUGGUUUUGUAGCCUUAUCGAGCAAGUAGGUAUGUGUAAGAAUAAUCAUGAAAUGAUCAUAGGAUUUGAAACACCAACAAAAAUGAUCAUAGGAUUUUAAGAAUGCAUCCUUGUUGAUUUGUGGAAAGGAAUAUCUUGUAUUCAUGAUCAGUUGUCAAUUGUAUCUCACUUAUAAAUUCCUGUUCGAUGAAUCUAUUGUAAAAUGUCUUCAUAAUGGCAUUUUCCCAUUCAAAAGUACGAGUCUUCCAUUAGAAGGGUUGGCUUUAUUUGGCAUGAGUGUUUUAUCCGAACGGUUCUUUUCAUAAUGGUUUUGAAAUCAAGAGUCGGAUUUGUUCAUUUCUAAAAUUGACUUCCUUGUACUUUUCUUUAUUAAUUAUUUUUUAAGUAGAACACAUCUUACUUCUAUAACAUAAUUGUAAUAAAAUAUUACUUAUCAUAUUCCGCAUACAAAUAUAUGUCUUAUCAUUAUUUUAAGGUUUAAAAUUUUAUAAAUUAGAUUAUUUUUAAUUGAGUUUCUAUUAAAAAAAUUGUUUUAUUGAGUGUUCAAAAUAUUUGUUUAUUUUUGUUUAGAUGUUUUAUCAUUUGAUUUGUCAUUAGGGGAUUAUAUGAUUGUUACUUAUAUGUCUCCAACUCAUUGAUCCACUUCCUCAUUAUCUCUUCAAUCUCUUAUAACUUGUUUAUUUAAUGGGCGAGUUGAAAGAGAUCGAAGAGAAAAAUAUCUUGUUGAAAGGAAGAUAAAAAUAACAAUUACCUUAUCUUGUUGACCACCAAAUCAAUUAGCACGAUACUUAGAUAAAAAUAAAAAGUAUUUUGAAUAUUUAGUGAAAUAUAUUUUUUGUAGAAUUAUUAACAUAUUGACUAGAGAAAUUACCAUAUGUUUUAAGAAAAUUACUCAAAUGUCUAAGAAAAUUAUUAUAAAAAUGUCAUCCGCAUAUAAAAUAUGAGAGAAAGUGAAAAAACCUUGCAGAUUAGUCAUAUGUAGAAUCUUCUUAUCAUUCACAAGCUUUGAGAGACCUCUAUUAAGAACUUCCUCCACAAGACAAAAAAGUAGAGGAGACAAGAUCACAUUGUCUAACACCUCUACAACAAGGAAAAAAAACCCACUAAAUUGUCAUUUAUUUUGAUAGAAAGUAUAGCUGAACGAAGAAUAGUACUAAUCUAAUCGACAAACUAGGAGUGAAAACCAAAGCGUGACAAAACUAAUAGUAAAAACUUCCCACUUAGAGUGUCAAAGGCUUUGUGAAUAUCAAUUUUGUAAGUCACAUUGCCUCCAUGAACUUUUUUAGAAAGCAAGUUAAUAGUUUCAGAAACAAUACCAAUACAAUCUUGAAUUUGUCUGCCUUGCACAAACUCAUACUGAUUAGGAGAAAUAAUUCUAGCAAACACAAGAGCAAGCCGAUAUGCCAAAAUCUUAGAAAUAAUCUUAAAUUUAAAAUCAACAACAAUUGACUUGUAAGAAAUAUAUAUAUAUAUAUAUAUAUAUAUAUAUAUAUAUAUUUUGGAAACUUAUAGUUACAGGAUUAUUAUAAUAAAUAUAUAUUUUGUAUAUAAAAUUAUAAAUAUAAUUUUCAUAAUUUUUUAUUCACUUUUAAUUUCUUUCUCUUAAUCUAAAUAACUUUAUUUUAGUUAAUAUUUCCUCUCAAAUCCAUCAAUUUCCUCAAUCUAAAAUUCAUCUUCAAAUUCAAAAAAAUUCUUGCAUUUCAGAAUUUGAUUUUCUAUCAACCAAAUUCUGAACUUGCACAAGUCUAAUUUGAGAGAUAAAUUGUGUGACUGUACUUAGAGAUUUUUUAUUUAGUUUAUUUUGAUAAAAAAAAUGAAACGAUUAAAUGUUUCACAGACUAAGAAUCGAAGGACACCUAACCAUUAAAUUAGAAAGAUAAGUAAAAUAAACAUAUGAAAACUCCAUAAAAGAAUGUUUUAUUAAUUAAACAUUAAAAAAAGUAAAGACAACCAGAACGUGUGGAUAGGAAAAAUUCAGAAUAAUCAAAGUAAACUAAAACAUUAUCUGUUUGAAGUAAGAUUUACUAAUGAAAUAAAUUUGCUUCAUAAGAGUUUAAUUAUUUAAAUUGAAAUUCAAUUUUAGUUUUAGUUAUGUGAUAACACCACAUAAUAUUGAACAUAGUUCUUUAGUAUCUUUAAAUAUACUUUAUUUAACAAAAUAAGAGAAAAUAAUAAUAUUUAAUUAUAUGUUGUUUAUUCUAAAUACUUUAUGUACCCCUGUAGGUUGAAUUAAUAUCUUGAUAUGCUAAUAUAAUUACAAUAAAAUUGAUUAUUACAUACUUAAGAUAUUAUUCACAAGUUAUGGUAACUAAUAACUUACACAAUUAAAUAAUGUGUAUUGGAGAGAUUAUAAAUACGAUAUAUCUAAUAUAUUUAUGAUUUCAAGUUUCUUAAAACACCCACCUUUCAAAUAAACUUUAAUAAAUACAUUAAUACUAACAAAAAAAAAUAUCAUCGAAAAAAAACAUAAAAUAAUAUUAAGAUGUUGAUUUUGGGAGAUCACUCUAAACCUUACAGCAAUUCUUUAAGAUUUAAAUAAAGAUAACAUUUUUUUUCAGAGAAUAUUACCGAUAAAGUUACAUUCUCCCAUAUAAGUGAUAUGAAUUCUUUGUAAUGCUUGGGAUUCUUUCAUUAAACUUAAACAAUUACAGCAAUAAUUUUUAAACCAUUUUUUUAUAAAGUAAUAUAUGCAAAAAGAAUACGUGCAAAAAAACUGUGAAGUUGAUUAUUUUGAAUAUUUUUAACAUUUUAAAUUGUAUAACACAAAUUAUUAUUUAUGAUUAGUCAAUGAUAUAUUGGCUAUUUUUUUAUUGAAUACGUGAAAACCUAAUUUUAAUAACUUCUGAAGUCAAUUUUUUUAUUUCAUUAUUAUAUGAAUUUACUUAAAUAUAUUUCGAAUACAUCAUCACAGCAUCAGAUGUUGAAACGCCCGUGUAAGUUAAAUUGGUAGAAAUAUGAUGUGCAUAAAAAUUAAAAUGAAUUUGAUUUCUUAGGUUAUUUAUUAGAUAAAUACUGCUUUCUCCGUCGUCCAUUCUAUUCUAUCUACACUCACUCUCUCACUCUCCCACUCUCCCAUGGCUUCCUCAGCUCCCUGUGCUUCUCUCAUAUCCUCAAACCCUAACAUUCUCUUCUCUCCCAAAUUCCCUUCUUCUUCCUUUUCUUCCCUCUCCUUCCCCAAUUCCCCCAAUUCUCUUUUCAAACCUUUACGCACUUCUCUCAAUCCUUCAUCUCCCCCUCUCAGAACCUUCGUUGCCAGGGCUUCGGUAAUUCUUUUCUCCUACCACUUACUCUCCUUUUCCCACUUAAAUCUUACAUUGCGCUGCAACAAUUUGCUCCUUUUUUAUGUUUCUGCUGAUUUUACUGUUACCUGCUUCUUUGCUUGCUUGCUUGUUGGCCUCUAUUUUUUGUGCAUUUUUCUCUCUUCCCAUCAAUGUGUGCUUUCAUAUCCAACUCUCUUGUUUCUAGUCCUCGCUGCUCUCGCUCACCUGCUAAUUUUAUGCACUUCUGUGACUGAACUGUGGAAAUGAACUACGGCGGUGAUUGUGAAAAUUCUGUUUCUGUUUGCUGCAUUUCUGAGCAUAUUACUUCAUAGAUGUGUUGCAUGUCAUCCAGUGUAGCACAGAUUCAUUGUAAUUUGUAAUUAGUCGAACAAUGCUUUAAAAUAAUAUGGUAAUUCUACAUUCUUCCUUCUUCAAGGUUGUGAGUUUUGUAUUGGAAUUUCUGUUCGUGUGUGGGAGAAUCUUUUUCUGCAAACCUUUACAGCUGUAACUUCCUUGAUGAAGCUGAAAACUCAAUUUUUUUAGAGUGUAGUAUUUCUCUGGCCUGACCUUUGAAGCAAUUUAUUUAUUCUUUUUUGUUUGCUUAUUUUGAAAGAGUGAACUUCCAUUAGUUGGGAACACAGCAC
rnacentral:lncRNA from 1 species